GCCACAGUAGCUCAGUUGGUUAGAGCGCGUCAUUGGUAAUGACGAGGUCCUGAGUUCGACUCUCAGCUGUGGCU
rnacentral:tRNA from 1 species